UACGUAGGGUCCGAGCGUUGUCCGGAGUACUGGGCGUAAAGCGCGCGCAGGCGGCGGUGUUGGCCCGGCGUGAAAGCCCCCGGCUCAACCGGGGAGGGUCGUCGGGGACCGCACCGCUUGAGGGCGGUAGGGGCUGGUGGAAUGCCUGGUGUAGUGGUGAAAUGCGUAGAGAUCAGGCGGAACACCCGUGGCGAAGGCGGCCAGCUGGGCCGUCCCUGACGCUGAGGCGCGAAGGCGGUGGGGAGCGAACGGG
rnacentral:rRNA from 1 species